GGAUUCCCUUAGUACGGGCGACGGAAGCGGGAAAAGCCCACACUGGUAAUCUGCGAGCGGCAGCUCGCCGAAUUGUAAUCUGAAGAUUUGCAGUCUACCUGGGCCGGACGCCGAAGUGCGCACGAGCGCGCCGCCAAAGAGGGUGAGAGCCCCGUAUGGCGUCGGGUCCUACAAGGGCUGUGGGUCCAAGAGUCGUGUACUUUGAUACUAGUGCACUAAGCGGGAGAUAAACUUCUUCUAAGGCUAAAUACAAGUAGGAAACCGAUAGCGAACAAGUACUGUGAAGGAAAGAUGAAAAGCACUUUGGAAAGAAAGUUAAAAGACUUGAAAUCGUUGAGGCGGACCCGGUAGAAAUGUAUUCUAGCGAAGCGCCCUGGGAAGCCUGUAUUCGGGCCACUCGGGCGUCAGCCGAGACAAGAUGGAGUCGCCGGAUGCCAGAGGUGGCGCGUGAGGGUGCUUGCAUCAGCACGUGUUGGCCGGGUGUCGGGCGGCUUGAGGGGCCUUGUGCGAUCUUGUCAAAAUGGUUUUUACCGACUCGUCUUGAAACACGAACCAAGGAGUCUAAGACUAACGCGAGUGUGGUGGUGGAGAAACCAACACGCGAAAUGAAAGUAAAUGAUGCCAGGACCCCUGCAGCAUCGACCGACCACUUUCUCUUGGGAGAGGUUUGAGUAAGAGCGUUAUUCUUAGGACCCGAAAGAUGGUGAACUAUGCCUGUGUAGGGUGAAGUCAGGGGAAACUCUGAUGGAAGCUCGUAGCGAUACUGACGUGCAAAUCGUUCGUCGAACAUGGGUAUAGGGGCGAAAGACUAAUCGAACCAUCUAGUAGCUGGUUCCCUCCGAAGUUUCCCUCAGGAUAGCUGGGACAAGUACGCAGUUUUAUUAGGUAAAGCGAAUGAUUAGAGGCAUCGGGGAUAAAAUGUCCUUGACCUAUUCUCAAACUUUAAAUUGGUAAGAACUCCAUUCUUCUCUUAAUUGAAGACGGAGGUUCAAUGCGUGUCCUUAGUGGGCCAUUUUUGGUAAGCAGAACUGGCGAUGAGGGGUGCUCCUAACGUCUGGUUAAGGUGCCAAACUACACGCUCAUCAGAAACUACAAAGGGUGUUAGUUCAUGAAGACAGCAGGACGGUGGCCAUGGAAGUCGGAACCCGCUAAGGAGUGUGUUACAACUCACCUGCCGAAUGAACUAGUCCCGAAAAUGGAUGGCGCUAAAGCGUGUGACCGAUACCGGACCAUUGGUGCGAGAGUUAGGCAUCAAUGAGUAGGAGGGCGUGGGCGUCGCGGCGAAGCCUCUAGCGUGAGCUUGGGUUGAGCGGCGUCUAGUGCAGAUCUUGGUGGUAGUAGCAAUUAUUCAAAUGAGAACUUUGAAGGCCGAAGUGGAGAAGGUUUCCGUGAGAACAGCAAUUGGUCACGGGUGACUCGAUCCUAAGACAUGGGGGAAAUCCUUGUUAAGUGCGCGCAAGCGCGUAGUCGAAAGGGAAUGAGGUUAAUAUUCCUCAAGCUGGAUGUGGGCGCUAAGUGGCAACACAAACGAACUUAGAGCCGCCAGCGUGAGCCUCUGGAAGAGUUGUCUUUUCUUUUUAACAGGCUAGUGCCCCUGAAAUUGGUUUACCCAGAGAUAGGGGGACAUGCCUGGAAGAGCACCCUGCGUUUCGGGGUGUCAGGUGCGCUCAUGAUGGUCCGUGAAAAUCUAAGUGAGAUA
rnacentral:rRNA from 1 species